AACUGCUGCACAAGGAGUGUUCGAUUGGACUCCUUUUCACACAAUGAACAACCAGCUUAGAACUGAUGCGGGCAAGGGGGAUCCGACUGUUUAAUUGAAACAAAGUAUUGCGAUGCCCUGAAAGGAUGUUGACACAAUGUGAUUUCUGCCCAGUGCUCUGAAUGUCAAAGUGAGGAGAUUCAACUAAGCGCGGGUAAACGGCGGGAGUAACUAUGACUCUCUUAAGGUAGCCAAAUGCCUCGUCAUCCAAUUAGUGACGCGCAUGAAUGGAUUAAUGAGAUUCCUACUGUCCCAAUCUACUGUCCAGCGAAACCACAGCCAAGGGAACGGGCUUGGGUGAGUCAGCGGGGAAAGAAGACCCUGUUGAGCUUGACUCUAAUCCGACUUUGUGAAAUGACUUAGGAGGAGUAGGAUAUGUGGGAGCUCAGGUGAUCUUGAAAUACCACUACUUUUAAUGUCACUUUACUUACUCUAUCCAACUGUGCCCUGCCUCACAGCAGGUUUUUGCUUUUAAGGUUGCUCUUUUGGCGUGUUGAUUUGCGUAGAAGACGUCGUCCGGUGGGGAGUUUGGCUGGGGCGGCACAUCUGUUAAAGGAUAACGCAGGUGUCCUAAGGUGAGCUCAAUGAGAACAGAAAUCUCAUGCGGAUCAAAAGGGGAAACGCUUGCUUGAUUUUGCUUUUCAGUGUGAAGAUAAACUGUGCAAACAUGGCCUAUUGAUCCUUUAG
rnacentral:rRNA from 1 species